rnacentral:rRNA from 1 species
UUCCGGUUGAUCCUGCCGGACCUGANUGCNAUCGGAUUGAUACUAAGCCAUGCGAGUCUUUGUAGCAAUACAAGGCAGACGGCUCAGUAACACGUAGUCUAAUCUACCCUAUGGACGGGGAUAACCUCGGGAAACUGAGAAUAAUACCCGAUAGAUCAUUAUACCUGGAAUGGUUUAUGGUUCAAAGGAUUAUUCGCCAUAGGAUGGGACUGCGGUCUAUCAGCUUGUUGGUGAGGUAAUGGCCCACCAAGGCUAUAACAGAUACGGGCUCUGAGAGGAGAAGCCCGGAGAUGGGUACUGAGACACGGACCCAGGUCCUAUGGGGCGCAGCAGGCGAGAAAACUUUGCAAUGUGCGAAAGCACGACAAGGUCAAUCCGAGUGGUUCCUGCUAAAGGAAUCUUUUGUCAGUCCUAAACAACACUGACGAAUAAUGGGUG